rfam:Marine metagenome 1092351237674, whole genome shotgun sequence.
AUCGUUCAUCCCAAAAGGGACGCAAGUAAGCCGACUCGGAACGGAUU